CCAGCAGCUGCGGUAAUUCCAGCUCCAAUAGCGUAGAUUAAAGUUGUUGCAGUUAAAAAGCUCGUAGUUGGAUUUCUGGCAGGGCGCCGAUGCCCGCUUGUUGCGUGUGCAGAGCGCCCUACCAUCCUUCUGUUAACUCUAAUAGGCAUUGAUUUGUCUGUAGAGGGCUCAGAUAUUUUACCUUGAGAAAAUUAGAGUGUUUCAGGCAGGCUUGCGCCGGAAUACAUUAGCAUGGAAUAAUGGAAUAGGACUACGGUCUCUUUGUUGGUUUGAGGGACUGCAGUAAUGAGCAAUAGGGAUAGUUGGGGGCAUUAGUAUUUAAUUGUCAGAGGUGAAAUUCUCGGAUUUGUUAAAGACUAACUUAUGCGAAAGCAUUUGCCAAGGAUGUCUUCAUCAAUCAAGAACGAAAGU
rnacentral:rRNA from 1 species